rnacentral:SRP_RNA from 1 species
GCCGGGCGUGGUGGCGCAUGCCUGUAGUCCCAGCUACUCGGGAGGCUGAGGUGGGAGGAUCACUUGAGCCCAGGAGUUCUGGGCUGUAGUGCGCUGUGCCGAUCGGGUGUCUGCACUAAGUUCGGCAUCAAUAUAGUGACCUCCCGGGAGCCAGGGACCACCAGGUUGCCUAAGGAGGGGUGAACCGGCCCAGAUUGGAAACGGAGCAGGUCAAAACUCCCGUGCUGAUCAGUAGUGGGAUCACGACGGUGAAUAACCACUGUACUCCCACCUGGGCAACAUAGCGAGACCCUGUCUCU